rnacentral:snoRNA from 1 species
CCCCUCUCAGGGUUGCACCUGGAGAGUUUCCAGUACUCUACCAGUCUCGGCUACAGGAGGGAGAGUCAAGCAGAGGCCUGUCCUUUCAUUCCUUGCUUGGGCAGUGGCUAGUGAGUGGAGGGCAAUCUGCUACAAGU